GACAGAGGGUGCAAACGUUGUUCGGAAUUACUGGGCGUAAAGCGCGUGUAGGCGGCCAUCUAAGUCGGGCGUGAAAUCCCACGGCUCAACCGUGGAAGUGCACUCGAAACUGGAUGGCUAGAGUCCUGGAGAGGAAGGUGGAAUGCUUGGUGUAGAGGUGAAAUUCGUAGAUAUCAAGCGGAACACCGGGUGGCGAAGGCGGCCUUCUGGACAGUGACGUGA
rnacentral:rRNA from 1 species